rnacentral:rRNA from 1 species
CAGCCGCCGCGGUAAUACGUAGGGGGCGAGCGUUGUCCGGAAUUAUUGGGCGUAAAGCGCGCGCAGGCGGUCCUUUAAGUCUGAUGUGAAAGCCCACGGCUCAACCGUGGAGGGUCAUUGGAAACUGGGGGACUUGAGUGCAGGAGAGGAGAGCGGAAUUCCACGUGUAGCGGUGAAAUGCGUAGAGAUGUGGAGGAACACCAGUGGCGAAGGCGGCUCUCUGGCCUGUAACUGACGCUGAGGCGCGAAAGCGUGGGGAGCAAACAGGAUUAGAUACCCUGGUAGUACACGCCGUAAACGAUGAGUGCUAAGUGUUAGAGGGGUCACACCCUUUAGUGCUGCAGCUAACGCGAUAAGCACUCCGCCUGGGGAGUACGGCCGCAAGGCUGAAACUUAAAGGAAUUGGGGG